rnacentral:rRNA from 1 species
UACAGAGGUCCCCGAGCGUUGUUCGGAUUCAUUGGGCGUAAAGGGUGCGUAGGCGGUCGGGUAAGUCUGACGUGAAAUCUUCAAGCUCAACUUGGAAACUGCGUCCGAUACUAUUCGGCUAGAGGAAUGGAGGGGAGACUGGAAUACUUGGUGUAGCAGUGAAAUGCGUAGAUAUCAAGUGGAACACCAGUGGCGAAGGCGAGUCUCUGGACAUUUCCUGACGCUGAGGCACGAAAGCCAGGGGAGCAAACGGG